UACGAAGGGGGCUAGCGUUGUUCGGAAUUACUGGGCGUAAAGCGCACGUAGGCGGAUAUUUAAGUCAGGGGUGAAAUCCCAGAGCUCAACUCUGGAACUGCACCUGAAACUACCAGUCUUGAGUGGUGGAGAGGGAAGUGGAAUUCCUGGUGUAGAGGUGAAAUUCGUAGAUAUCAGGAGGAACACCAGUGGCGAAGGCGGCUUCCUGGACACUAACUGACGCUGAGACGCGAAAAGCGUGGGGAGCAAACAGG
rnacentral:rRNA from 1 species